GAUGAACGCUGGCGGCGUGCUUAACACAUGCAAGUCGAGCGAGAUUAUUCUUCGGAAUAGUCUAGCGGCGGACGGGUGAGUAACACGUGGGCAACCUGACUUGUAGAGGGGGAUAGCCUUCCGAAAGGAAGAUUAAUACCGCAUCAUGUUAUCGAAAGGCAUCUUUCGAUAAUCAAAGGAGCAAUCCGCUACAAGAUGGGCCCGCGGGGCAUUAGCUAGUUGGUGAGGUAACGGCUCACCAAGGCGACGGUGCGUAGCAGACCUGAGAGGGUGAUCGGCCACAUUGGGACUGAGACACGGCCCAGACUCCUACGGGAGGCAGCAGUGGGGAAUAUUGCACAAUGGGGGAAACCCUGAUGCAGCAACGCCGCGUGAGUGAUGACGGCCUUCGGGUUGUAAAGCUCUGUCUUUGGGGACGAUAAUGACGGUACCCAAGGAGGAAGUCACGGCUAACUACGUGCCAGCCGCCGCGGUAA
rnacentral:rRNA from 1 species